rnacentral:ncRNA from 1 species
AUAGAAGCAUUGAAAGAGAGAGUAAAUAUAAUAGGAUUUUAAGAGAGAAAAGGUUAUUAGCUGAAAGCCUUUUUAAGUCUAGUUGUAUUGAAGUUCACUCUGGAGUUCCAUUUGUGAAAUGUAGCUUUGUACAAAUUAGCAAAUGGCGGUUAAAUAUCGUUAAAAUAUUGAGUGGGUUAUCCAAUUUGGGUGGUACCGCGGAGAUUAUCCGUCCCUUUU